rnacentral:rRNA from 1 species
UAGUCCACGCCGUAAACGAUGGAUACUGGAUGUUCGGGUUAUUGAAACCUGAGUGUCUGAGCGAAAGUAUUAAGUAUCCCACCUGGGGAGUACGUCCGCAAGGAUGAAACUCAAAGGAAUUGACGGGGGCCCGCACAAGCGGUGGAGCAUGUGGUUUAAUUCGAUGGUACGCGAGGAACCUUACCUGGGCUAGAAUGUGAGUGACCGCUCCUGAAAGGGAGUUUUCUUCGGACACGAAACAAGGUGCUGCAUGGUUGUCGUCAGCUCGUGCCGUGAGGUGUUGGGUUAAGUCCCGCAACGAGCGCAACCCCUAUCCUUAGUUGCCAACGGGUAAUGCCGGGGACUCUAAGGGGACUGCCUGCGCAAGCAGUGAGGAAGGUGGGGACGACGGUCAAAUCAUCAUGACCCUAAUAAAUUGGGCUACUUCACGUGCUACAAUAGUUUUCAAAAGUAAGCAAAAAUGUAAGUUUUAGACAAAUACUUCAAAAAAUUGAGUUCGGAUUGUUUUCUGAAAUUCGAAAACAUUAAGUUGGAAUUGCUAGUAAUACG